rnacentral:sRNA from 1 species
UAAAAGUUGCGUUAGCGGUUGCAGUGGCAUCCUUUUUUGCAAAGUAAUCCCAAAACUAGUUUGGGAUUACUUUGCAAAAAAGAUAUAACGGAAAACGCGACCCUUG